rnacentral:misc_RNA from 1 species
ACUUCAAGCAUAACCAGAGAGUUUUGCACCCAGCAGUGAGAAAGGGGGUGUGGACAAAUUCUAACAGUUUCAAGGACACAUGUAUUUGUUUCUGUAACACUCAAAUGCCUCCGUUUCAAUUCAUCUUUCACUGACCACCCUCCGAAGAUCAUCAACAUUAUUUGCUUGAUACCACAUAACUUUUACAUAUGGCCUUGAGAAUUAGGGUGAAGUGUGCUAGAACAGAAGUAGAGUUCAAAAAGAUGGAGAAGAGCAAGAGGUUUUGAAAUGUAACAG